AUUGAACGCUGGCGGCAGGCCUAACACAUGCAAGUCGAACGAGUGGCGGACGGGUGAGUAAUGUCUGGGAAACUGCCUGCUGGAGGGGGAUAACUACUGGACACGGUAGCUAAUACCGCAUACCAUCGGAUGUGCCCAGAUGGGAUUAGCUAGUAGGUGGGGUAAAGGCUCACCUAGGCGACGAUCCCUAGCUGGUCUCAGAGGAUGACCAGCCACACUGGAACGUAGACACGGUCCAGACUCCUACGGGAGGCAGCAGUGGGGAAUAUUGCACGAGGGGAGCAAGCCUGAUGCAGCAAUGCCGCGUGUAUGAAGAAGGCCUUCGGGUUGUAAAGUACUUUCAGCGGGGAGGCGUUACCCGCAGAAGAAGCGCCGGCUAACUCCGUUCCAGCAGCCGCGGUAAUUC
rnacentral:rRNA from 1 species